UAGGGAAUCUUCGGCAAUGGGGGGAACCCUGACCGAGCAACGCCGCGUGAGUGAAGAAGGUUUUCGGAUCGUAAAGCUCUGUUGUUAAGGAAGUACGAGUGUGAGAAUGGAAAGUUCAUGCUGUGACGGUACUUAACCAGAAAGGGACGGCUAACUACGUGCCAGCAGCCGCGGUAAUACGUAGGUCCCGAGCGUUUUCCGGAUUUAUUGGGCGUAAAGCGGGCGCAGGCGGUUAGAAAAGUCUGAAGUGAAAGGCAGUGGCUCAACCAUUGUAGGCUUUGGAAACUGUUUAACUUGAGUGCAGAAGGGGAGAGUGGAAUUCCAUGUGGAGCGGUGAAAUGCGUAGAUAUAUGGAAGAACACCGGUGGCGAAAGCGGCUCUCUGGUCUGUAACUGACGCUGAGGCUCGAAAGCGUGGGGAGCGAACAGG
rnacentral:rRNA from 1 species